rnacentral:rRNA from 1 species
CUACGGGUGGCUGCAGUGGGGAAUAUUGCACAAUGGGCGCAAGCCUGAUGCAGCCAUGCCGCGUGUGUGAAGAAGGCCUUCGGGUUGUAAAGCACUUUCAGCGGGGAGGAAGGCGGUGAGGUUAAUAACCUCAUCGAUUGACGUUACCCGCAGAAGAAGCACCGGCUAACUCCGUGCCAGCAGCCGCGGUAGUACGGAGGGUGCAAGCGUUAAUCGGAAUUACUGGGCGUAAAGCGCACGCAGGCGGUCUGUCAAGUCGGAUGUGAAAUCCCCGGGCUCAACCUGGGAACUGCAUUCGAAACUGGCAGGCUAGAGUCUUGUAGAGGGGGGUAGAAUUCCAGGUGUAGCGGUGAAAUGCGUAGAGAUCUGGAGGAAUACCGGUGGCGAAGGCGGCCCCCUGGACAAAGACUGACGCUCAGGUGCGAAAGCGUGGGGAGCAAACAGGAUUAGAUACCCCGGUAGUC